rnacentral:rRNA from 1 species
UACGUAGGGGGCGAGCGUUGUCCGGAUUUAUUGGGCGUAAAGCGUGCGUAGGCGGCUUCGCAAGUCGGGUGUGAAACCCCGGGGCUCAACCCCGGAACUGCAUCCGAUACUGCGUGGCUAGAGGUAGGUAGGGGAGAUCGGAAUUCCUGGUGUAGCGGUGAAAUGCGCAGAUAUCAGGAGGAACACCGGUGGCGAAGGCGGAUCUCUGGGCCUUACCUGACGCUCAGGCACGAAAGCUAGGGGAGCGAACAGG